ACGGGUGUAGCUCAAUUGGCAGAGCGGCGGUCUCCAAAACCGUAGGCUGGGGGUUCAAGUCCCUCCUCCCGUG
rnacentral:tRNA from 2 species